UAAUACGUAGGGGGCAAGCGUUGUCCGGAAUCAUUGGGCGUAAAGAGCGUGUAGGCGGUCCGAUAAGUCGGUUGUGAAAGUCCAGGGCUCAACCCUGGGAUGCCGACCGAUACUGUCGGACUAGAGUUCGGAAGAGGCGAGUGGAAUUCCCGGUGUAGCGGUGAAAUGCGCAGAUAUCGGGAGGAACACCUAUGGCGAAGGCAGCUCGCUGGGACGUUACUGACGCUGAGACGCGAAAGCGUGGGGAGCAAACAGGAUUAGAUACCCUGGUAGUCCA
rnacentral:rRNA from 1 species